UAACCUCGGGAAACUGAGGAUAAUGGUUCAUAGUUGAAUAGGCUUGGAAAAGUUUUUCAAUGAAAGGAAUAAGAUAAAUGGUUCUUAUUUGCCAUAGGAUAGGAUCGUGGUCGAUUAUGGUAGUUGGUGAGAUAACGGCUCACCAAGCCGAUAAUCGAUAGGGGCCGUGAGAGCGGGAGCCCCAAGAUGGGUACUGAGACAGCGACCCAGGCCUUACGAGGCGCAGCAGGCGCGAGACCUCCGCAAUACACGAAAGUGUGACGGGGUUACCCAAAGUGUUCUCUUAAGAACUGUGGUAGGUGAGUAAUGUCCCCUGCUAGAAAGGAGAGGGCAAGGCUGGUGCCAGCCGCCGCGGUAAAACCAGCUCUUCAAGUGGUCGGGAUAAUUAUUGGGCUUAAAGUGUCCGUAGCCGGUUUAGUAAGUUCCUGGUAAAAUCGGGUAGCUUAACUAUCUGCAUGCUAGGAAUACUGCUAUACUAGAGGGCGGGAGAGGUCUGAGGUACUACAGGGGUAGGGGUGAAAUCUUAUAAUCCUUGUAGGACCACCAGUGGCGAAGGCGUCAGACUGGAACGCGCCUGACGGUGAGGGACGAAAGCCAGGGGGGCGAACCGGAUUAGAUACCCGGGUAGUCCUGGCCGUAAACGAUGCAUACUAGGUGAUGGUACGGCCAUGAGCCGUAUCAGUGCCGUAGGGAAACCGUUAAGUGUGCCGCCUGGGAAGUACGGUCGCAAGGCUAAAACUUAAAGGAAUUGGCGGGGGAGCACCACAAGGGGUGAAGCCUGCGGUUCAAUUGGACCCAACGCCGGGAAACUUACCAGGGGAGACAGCAGAAUGAGGGUCAGGUUGACGACCUUACCUGAUGAGCUGAGAGGAGGUGCAUGGCCGUCGCCAGUUCGUGCUGUGAGGUAUCCUGUUAAGUCAGGCAACGAACGAGAUCCGCACCUUUAUUUGCCAACAAGAAGUUACGACUUCGUUGGGAACACUAAAGGGACCGCCGUCGAUAAGACGGAGGAAGGAGCGGGCAAAGGCAGGUCAGUAUGCCCCGAAACCCCUGGGCUACACGCGGGCUGCAAUGGUAUGAACAAUGGGCUGUAACUCCGAAAGGAGAAACCAAUCCCGAAAUCAUAUCACAGUGGGGAUUGUUGGCUGUAACCCGCCGACAUGAACGUGGAAUCCCUAGUAAUCGUGUGUCAUCAUCGCACGGUGAAUACGUCUCUGCUCCUUGCACACACCGCCCGUCGCUCCAUCCGAGUGUACUAAAAAUGAGGUUUGGUCAGACUGGUCAUAUCGAGUUUCUAGUAUGCGAGGAGGGAGAAGUCGUAACAAGGUA
rnacentral:rRNA from 1 species